rnacentral:rRNA from 1 species
UACAGAGGUCUCAAGCGUUGUUCGGAGUUACUGGGCGUAAAGGGUGUGUAGGCGGUUCCUUAAGUUUGCUGUGAAAUCUCCCGGCUUAACCGGGAGGGUGCGGUGAAUACUGAGGGACUAGAGUACGGGAGAGGAAAGUGGAAUUCCUGGUGUAGCGGUGAAAUGCGUAGAUAUCAGGAGGAACACCGGUGGUGUAGACGGCUUUCUGGACCGUAACUGACGCUGAGACACGAAAGCGUGGGUAGCAAACAGG